AUCCAAUCCAGAGUAGGACAACAUUGCUGUAUUUUUGGUUCCUCAGUGUGCUGCUCAUGGAGCCACCUUUUUUUAUAUAUCUCUUUUCCCAUUUGCUGAUCAGAAACCAGGACACUACUUCUUC
rnacentral:lncRNA from 12 species